rnacentral:tRNA from 14 species
CGCGGGAUAGAGCAGUUUGGUAGCUCGUCGGGCUCAUAACCCGGAGGUCGUAGGUUCAAAUCCUGCUCCCGCAACCA